UGCCUAUGAUGACAUAUUCGACAUCGGAAUUUGCAUAGCUCAGGCUGCUUGAGGUGGAUCCUGUGAUCAGACUCUAAGUCGACAAUUCCAGCUUCUUCCGUUGUAAUCUUGGAUGCUGCCUUGCAGAAUAGGUAGUGGGCCGUAAGGCCAGCGGAACAUUACGAGCCAGGGGCAAGACUGCUGUCUGUCGUGAAAUCCAAGACUGACAACUUAGGCUAUGGCUUACAAAACAUAAUCAUUAAAAUGAAGCACAGAGUAUUGUCGACCCAGGAUCCACUUAGGCCUGAGUUGCCCAUUGACGACGUCUUUAGUAAUCUGAGAGCAU